UAGCGUAUAUUAAAGUUGUUGCAGUUAAAAAGCUCGUAGUUGAAUUUCGGGAUCAANNCCNUCGGUCGUGCCUCCGGUANGNACUGGNGUCGUUGGUUNCUCCUUUCUGAGGANNCANGAUGCCAUUAANUUGGUGUNGUGGGGAAUCAGGACUGUUACNUUGAAAAAAUUAGAGUGUUUAAAGCAGGCACNCGCUUGAAUACAUUAGCAUGGAAUAAUGAAAUAGGACGUUCGANNCUAUUUUGUUGGUUUCUAGGAUCAACGUAAUGAUUAAUAGGGAUAGUUGGGGGCAUUAGUAUUCAAUUGUCAGAGGUGAAAUUCUUGGAUUUAUUGAAGACUAACUACUGCGAAAGCAUUUGCCAAGGAUGUUUUCAUUAAUCAAGAACGAAAGUUAGGGGAUCGAAGACGAUCAGAUACCGUCGUAGUCUUAACCAUAAACUAUGCCGACUAGGGAUCGGAU
rnacentral:rRNA from 1 species